rnacentral:rRNA from 1 species
UACAGAGGGGGCAAGCGUUGUUCGGAAUUACUGGGCGUAAAGGGCGCGUAGGCGGCCGCCUAAGUCAGACGUGAAAUCCCUCGGCUCAACCGGGGAACUGCGUCUGAUACUGGGUGGCUUGAAUCCGGGAGAGGGAUGCGGAAUUCCAGGUGUAGCGGUGAAAUGCGUAGAUAUCUGGAGGAACACCGAUGGCGAAGGCAGUUCUCUGGGCCGUAACUGACGCUGAGGAGCGAAAGCGUGGGGAGCGAACAGG